AUACGUAGGGGGCGAGCGUUGUCCGGAUUUAUUGGGCGUAAAGGGUGCGUAGGCGGCCCUGUAAGUCAGAUGUGAAAGAUCAUGGCUUAACUGUGGUAAGCAUUUGAAACUGCAGGGCUUGAGUACAGGAGAGGGGAGUGGAAUUCCUAGUGUAGCGGUGAAAUGCGUAGAUAUUAGGAGGAAUACCAGUGGCGAAGGCGACUCUCUGGACUGAUACUGACGCUGAGGCACGAAAGCGUGGGGAGCAAACAGGAUUAGAUACCCUGGUAGUCCACGCUAUAAACGAUGAGUGCUAGGUGUCGGGGGUCAAACCUCGGUGCCGCAGUUAACACAUUAAGCACUCCGCCUGGGGAGUACGGCCGCAAGGCUGAAACUCAAAUGAAUUGACGGGG
rnacentral:rRNA from 1 species